ACUAAAUAGAUACCCGGGUAGUCCACGCCCUAAACGAUGUCUACUAGUUGUCGGGUCUUAAUUGACUUGGUAAACGCAGCUAAACGCGUGAAAGUAGACCGCCUGGGGAGUACGGUCGCAAGAUUAAAACUCAAAGGAAUUGACGGGGACCCGCACAAGCGGUGGAUGAUGUGGAUUAAUUCGAUGCAACGCGAAAAACCUUACCUACCCUUGACAUGGAUGGAAUCCCUGAGAGAUUGGGGAGUGCCCGAAAGGGAACCAUUACACAGGUGCUGCAUGGCUGUUGUCAGCUCGUGUCGUGAGAUGUUGGGUUAAGUCCCGCAACGAGCGCAACCCUUGUCAUUAGUUGCUACGAAAGGGCACUCUAAUGAGACUGCCGGUGACAAACCGGAGGAAGGUGGGGAUGACGUCAAGUCCUCAUGGCCCUUAUGGGUAGGGCUUCACACGUCAUACAAUGGUACAUACAGAGGGCCGCCAACCCGCGAGGGGAGCUAAUCCCAGAAAGUGUAUCGUAGUCCGGAUUGUAGUCUGCAACUCGACUGC
rnacentral:rRNA from 1 species